UCCAUUCCAUUCCAUUCCAUUCCAUUCCAUUCCAUUCCAUUCCAUUCCAUGUGUAAAGGUCUUUGAUGUUCUCAGAGGACAACAAUGGGGCAGGCAGGGCUAGAACAGGUCACAGAGAUCUCAGUGUUUAAACUGAGCCAGAGCCCCCCUUUCCAGACUUCAGGGAGGAGUUCUCCACAUUUUCCUCAUCCAUGAAACAUCCCUGACCACAGGAGCUGGGAAGGAAUAUCAGGUCUUGCUGUCAGCUGCUGAGAUUUGGAGUUAAACUGGGGGGGACAUCAGGGAUGUCCAGGGACAGACAGAGGUGGAGAAGCGAGGAGCUGGAAUGCAGCACACCUUCCUGAGAGGCACUCACCCAAAUCCCUUUGCUAUUUAGCUGGCAAAUCCAGCACCAAGGCAAAACCAAAGCCAAACACCUUUGUGUGCAAGCUCAGCUGUUCCAGCCAGGGGGAUUCUUGCUGGAGGAACAGAGAGUGUGUCAUAAGGAGAUGAAGAUGUCAAGGAGAGGUUUGAGAUCUGCCCCAUGGCAAUUACUCACAGCUCUUUAUCAAUCUCUGGAGCUUUCAU